rnacentral:misc_RNA from 1 species
GCGGCCUACCAGCUCCAGCUCGCCACCUCUCGCCGUAAGCCUACCUGUGUGUUGCUCCUGCCGUCCUGCAGCUCUAGUGUCGUGUGUCCUGCUCCGCUCCUCCGCUCAUACAUGCUACUCCACCUCCACCGCUCCAUGUCCACCUGCCAGUCAAGUGCCGACUUGCGUGUUGCUUGCUUGCUCCUGCCUGUGUGCUGCAGGAACUUCGGUGAAGCCGGACAAGACUGCAGAACAGCACGAUCCAGGUGGGGCAAGAGGAUUUUGGUGAAGCCAAUAGUGAAGAAUAGCGCCAACAUCAGAGGAUAUGGGGGCGGGCAACAGGGUUUUGGUGACUUUGUUUUG